GUCGCUAGGUGACGAUUUCUGACUGGGGUGGCAGCCAAUGGGUUGUCACUGCCUAGGGGCUGAGAUCGCUGCAGGUGCCCCGGCUUAGAAACAUCUCGAAGCCCCGGGACCAUUUGGAGUCGCUGAAGGGAGGCGGGAAAUCGCCAGGCUGGAGCGCGAGGCUCCUGCGGGCAGCGAACCAGCCACAGGCUCGUGGCGGUGCCGCGGGGGUUGGACCGAACUCCCUGCCCUGGCGGGCGCGCGCAGUGUUUGUAGCCGCAGAAUCCGUUUCUGUCUGCUCUAGCAUGGAUGAGACAGGGAAGAGGAAGCUCAGACCCCAGCACAGGUUUGGGCAGCAAUGGCUCUUGGGUUAUUUGCUGUGCUUGCAGAGGACUUGUCAGGCCAAUGGAGCAGCCCAGCCAGAUGAGGAGCUGAAAGAAGAGGACUUGAGCAGCCCAGACAUCCAACUUGGCAGGAGCUGAGGAGCCCAAGAGUUCUAUCUGGUGAUGGAGGAGGAGCAGCUGUGUAUUUUGCUGAAAUGAUGUCUCUCUAUCCAGUGUCUGAGUAGCAAGGUGCCUCCCUGAGAGCAGAGAGAUUCUUCUUGUUUGCAUGGGCUGGGUCCUGGGGAGGUUGGAGCCUCGCAUUUGGCUGUUAAUGGGCUAGGAGCAUCACCCUGCUCCCCAAGACUGAAUGUGAAGGAGGAAAACCUGCCUGCAACUCGGGACACUCUGUUAUUCCUUGUCUGUCCUUCCAAGUCACUGGGUGUGAGUCACUGGACACAAUAUCGAGUACUGCCAAAGAAAACCAUCUUCUGGUCCUUCAGAGGACCUGAGCAUCCUGGCCAGGCAUGGGAUGGGAUGUGGGGAGGGAGAGACCUGCAGGACUAUAGUCCCUUACCAGAGCUGAUCACUUCAAGCACUGGCUGGGCUGGUGGGGACUAGGGAAGGGGGCUCCAGGAAGCAGAAGCCAGGUGACCUGAUUGCCCAUGUCUGUCCUCCAGACGCCAGUACUGGCCUACGUCCUCUUUUCAGUUCCUAAUGACAUUGGGCAGAUGAGAGAAUGGCCAACCUGGAGGAGAGACCAGGAGAAGGAGCAGCCACCCUGAGCCCAUUCAGCAGGAUAGAAACCAGACAGCAAGCUGUGGAGUAGGUGCAAAUGGAAAUUUGCUUAAGCUAAGUAUUGAAAGAGUGCUGCAAACGCUCUUG
rnacentral:lncRNA from 1 species